GAUGAACGCUGGCGGCGUGUCUAAUACAUGCAAGUCGAGCGAACAGACGAGGAGCUUGCUCCUCUGACCUUAGCUGCGGACUUGUGAGUUACACGUAGAUUACCUACCUAUAAGACUGGGAUUACUUCGGGAAACCGGAGCUAAUACCGGAUAAUAUAUUGAACUGCAUGGCUCAUUAGUGCACGACUGUUUUGCUGUCACUUAUAGAUGGAUCCGCGCCGCAUUAGCUAGUUGGUAAGGUUACGCCUUAACAAGGCAACGAUGCGUAGCCGACCUUACAGGGUGAACGGUCACACUGGAACUGAGACACGGUCGAGACUCCUACGGGAGGCAGAAAUAGGGAAUCAUCCGAAAUGGGCGAAAGCCUGACGGAGCAACGCCGCGUGAGUGAUGAAGGUCUUCGGAGAGUAAAACGUUGUUAAUAGGGAAGAACAAAGGGGUAAGUAACUAUGCACGUCUUGACGGUACCUAAACAGAAAGCAACGGCUAAAUACGAG
rnacentral:rRNA from 1 species